rnacentral:lncRNA from 10 species
CUGGUGAACUAGAGAAUGCUGAGUCUGGAGGAGACGGAGGCAGGAGAGGAGGGAAGCAGGAUAACGUUGCCUGGUGGAGGCGGAUGCAGAAGGGGGGACUUCCCCUGGGAUGACGAGGAUUUCCGCAGUCUGGCCCUUUUGGGGGCAGGCGUUGCCAUGGGAUUUUUCUACCUCUAUUUUCGAGAUCCUGGAAGAGAAAUCACGUGGAAGCACUUUGUACAGUAUUACCUGGCCAGAGGUGGACCGGCUGGAAGUCGUGAACAAACAAUCUGUGCGUGUUAUUCCUGCCCCUGGGACCUCUUCUGAAGUCCCCCUUACAUUAAAGGCAGGUCCUCCAUCUUUAAGGUCCACCUGCGCCCACUGAAGCUGGACAAGAGCCUCAAUAAGGACACCCUGGCGAGGAAGCUGGCAGUGCUCACCCCAGGCUUCCCUGACGGGGAUGACUCAGCACUACCCCUCAACAGAGAUGACUUUGAUGACUCUGCCCCUCAGCAGGGCUUACUAAGCACUACCCCUUAACAGGGAUGACUCCGCACUGCCCCUCAACAGGGAUGACUCAGCAGAGAUGACUCAGCACUGUCCCUUAGCAGGGAUGACACAGCAAGGAUGACUCAGCACUGCCCCUCAGCAAGGAUGACUCAGCACUGCCGCUCAACAGACAUGACUCAGGGAUGGCUUAGUACUGCCCCUCAGCAGGGAUGACUCAGCACCGCCUCUCAACAGGGAUGACUCAGCAGGGAUGACUCAGCACCGCCCCUCAACAGGCAUGACUCUGCAGAGAUGACUCAGCACUGUCCCUUAGCAGGGAUGACACAGCAAGGAUGACUCAGCACUGCCCCUCAGCAAGGAUGACUCAGCACUGCCGCUCAACAGGGAUGACUCAGGGAUGGCUUAGUACUGCCCCUCAACAGGGAUGACUCAGCAGGGAUGACUCAGCACCGCCCCUCAACAGGCAUGACUCUGCAGAGAUGACUUAGUACUGCCCCUCAGCAGGGAUGACUCAGUACUGCCCCUCAGCAGGGAUGACUCAGCACUGCCCCUCAACAGGGAUGACUCAGCAGGGAUGACUCAGCACUGUCCCUUAGCAGUGAUGACACAGCAAGGAUGACUCAGCACUGCCCCUCAGCAAGGAUGACUCAGCACUGCCGCUCAACAGACAUGACUCAGGGAUGGCUUAGUACUGCCCCUCAGCAGGGAUGACUCAGCACCGCCCCUCAACAGGGAUGACUCAGCACUGCCCCUCAACAGGGAUGACUCAGCAGGGAUGACUCAGCAGUGUCCCUUAGCAGCGAUGACACAGCAAGGAUGACUCAGCACUGCCCCUCACCAAGGAUGACUCAGCACUGCCGCUCAACAGACAUGACUCAGGGAUGGCUUAGUACUGCCCCUCAGCAGGGAUGACUCAGCAGGGAUGACUCAGCACCACCCCUCAACAGGGAUGACUCAGCAGGGAUGACUCAGCACUGCCCCUCAACAGGGAUGACUGCAGGGAUGACUCAGCACUGCCCCUCAGCAGGGAUGACUCAGCACUGCCCCUCAGCAGGGAUGACUCAGCAGGGAUGACUCAGCACCGCCCCUCAACAGGCAUGACUCUGCAGAGAUGACUCAGCACUGCCCCUCAGCAGGGAUGGCUCAGCAGGGAUGACUCAGCAUUGCCCCUCAACAGGGAUGACUCAGCAGACUCAGCAGGGAUGACUCAGCACUGCCCCUCAACAGACAUGACUCAGCAGGGAUGACUCAGCACCGCCCCUCAGCAAGGAUGACUCAGCAGGGAUGAUUCAGCAGAGAUAACUCGGGGAUGACUCUGAUUGUCCUUCAGCAGGGAUGAGUCUGUUUUGCUCCGAUGGAAGCAUCUGUAGUGUCCAUCAGCAGGUGAAUGGCCAAAGUGGUAUAUACUGUAGUCACAUUCAGCUAUAAAAAGGAAUAAAGUAUCGAUGCAUGCCACAACAUGGGUGAACCUAGAAAAUACUGAUCUAAAUGCAAGAAGCCAGGCACAAAAGGCCACAUAGUAUAUGUUCCCAUUUAUGUGAAAUGUGCAGAAUAAUAAUAAAAAUGUAUAGAAUAGCAAAUCUGUAGGGACAGACAUGAGGUGAGUGGUUGCCAGAAGUGGAAAUGGGAGUUAACUAUAAAUUGCACAGGGUACCUUACAGAGAUGAUGGAAAUGUCCUAAAACUAGAUUAUGGCAAUAGUUGCACUACGUGAUCAGUUUAUUAAAAAUCGUUGAUGUGUGUGUGUAAAAUGGGUGGAUUUUAUGGUUUAUAAAUUAUACCUUAAUAAAGGUUAACAAAAAAUGUGGCU